GGUGCCGUAGGCAAAUGGGUAAAGCCACAGGACCUUUCAAUCUUGUGUUUGCGGGUUCAACUCCCGUCGGCACUGCCA
rnacentral:tRNA from 1 species